AGUGAAAGAGUGUUGUGUGCUUUUGCUGAGUUUAGGAUGGUGUCAAUUGUGCCUCAGGAGAAGAGUUUAGACAUUCUGUCCUGAUGAAUGUAAUCAAGUCUUUAUUUCAUGGUUUCUCUUAACGCAAAUACGUACAGGUUCAUAUUCGUCGAUGAGGGUGAGAGGAAAACUAUCGCCAACAGAAAGAAUCCAGAUAGGAAGAGAGAAAAAGAAAGACCAGAGAUGGUUCAUGUGGGCUGCUCCUCAUAACCCUGCUCAAACACUACUGAGGCAUCAGGAUCUUCAAGAUUCAUAUGAGGAAACUGAAGCGAAAGAAUGUUGACUAAUUUUGUCAAGGUCACACAACUGCUCUCUUUGGUGACUUCCUGAAGCUUGAAGUAUCUUCCUUGGGAGACGUAUUAUAGAAUUUGAAAUCCCACUGGCCAGAUCUCAGCAUGUAGUUUCAUCCCAACUCUACAGAAGUCUGGAAAAUACAGAGAGAACAUGCUCUUUCCCUAGGAAGAAGAGAUGAGAGCUCCAUCUCUCUGCUGGUGGAAGGAGAGGUUGUCUUUCCCUUCCCAUAGGGCAAGAAGAGCUGCCUCCACAUCCUCCUUCUGCUGUAGCUGAAGAGCCUGUUUAAAGGAACAUCCUGAUGGGGCUCAGCCUUUUGACCCCCAGAAAACAUGGCUUUGUCUGCCAUCCUGCAGCUCAUCAUGGGAGCCUGCAAAGUGGUUGGGGGCAGCACACACCAGCAUGCUGUGAAGAGAGGAAAGAGCUGCCGGGAUAACAACCCCGCAGCCACCAUAAUGACUCAGAUUAGAACACAAGGGAACACCAGCCAUUUUUUAGUCUGUCAGUUUUUCUAUUAUCCUCAAGACUGAGCAUGAAACAUUCAUUAUAACACGUCCUUAUUGAUUCAACUGAUGGAAAUAUAUUGGUAUUAAUAACACGAAACUCUAAGGCACUGAGGAUAAUAAAAUGAUUGCGAACAUAACGGGU
rnacentral:lncRNA from 1 species